GAUGAACGCUGGCGGUAUGCUUAACACAUGCAAGUCGAACGGACUCUUCGGAGUUAGUGGCGGACGGGUGAGUAACGCGUGAGAAUCUGGCUUUGGGUUCGGGACAACCACUGGAAACGGUGGCUAAUACCGGAUGUGCCGAGAGGUAAAAGAGAAAUUGCCUGAAGAUGAGCUCGCGUCUGAUUAGCUAGUUGGUGAGGUAAAGGCUCACCAAGGCAGCGAUCAGUAGCUGGUCUGAGAGGAUGACCAGCCACACUGGGACGGAGACACGGCCCAGACUCCUACGGGAGGCAGCAGUGGGGAAUUUUCCGCAAUGGGCGAAAGCCUGACGGAGCAAUACCGCGUGAGGGAAGAAGGCUCUUGGGUUGUAAACCUCUUUUCUUAGGGAAGAACAAAAUGACGGUACCUAAGGAAUCAGCAUCGGCUAACUCCGUG
rnacentral:rRNA from 1 species